UGUAUGCAACUGAACUUUCAUUAACACUUGCUGUUAAUCUUUGCCAGGAGCAUGGUUUUUGUAACAGAGCCUCGCAUGCAUAGGUCCGGCUGCUUGCCACGUACUGUCCCUGAGCGAAAGUCGGAUCCCUUGACGAUAGCUGGCGAUUCUUCUAGACCACAACUCGCAAAUCUGCUUUGUACAGAUUUCAGAUUAAAGACGUGUGCUCCUGCUCGGUACGGAGCAGGCCGCGCGCCCAGGACCCACAUCUUCUUCGAUAGUUUAGUGCUUUGUGCGAGUGGUGAAGAUGGAUUGUAACAAGUUCGUUGUCACUGAACUUGUCUUCUUUCUUUUGGCACCGACCUUGAUUCUGCUUCGUAGGUUGAAUGCGUGGACACUUUCUUCUCUGAAAGUUUAUAGGGUGCUCCUUUGGAGUGAUUUUGUAUUCGGACGAGUUUUCUCCACAUCGACGAUAGCAAGUACAGUGCGUUGGAGUUCAAGACACUGCAGUUGCAAACUACAGGUACUUGAGGAUUCUCUACUAAGCAAGACUUUCAGAAGUCCAUCUCCAUUUCAAAACUCUUCUUGUAAGUUAUCAAGAUCUAAAUAAUUGGAAUAACAAUGCUUUUCUACAGAGACAUCGAGUUGGUUUGUAUCACAGUGUAGAGUGAAUCCUGUUCGAAAUAGUUACAGACGUUGUUUUGCAGUCAUAAGAGCAAUUGUUAUUCACAUGAAUACUCUCAUCUUCAUUUGCAUUUGUUGUUGAAAUCGAAACCUCUGUUAGUCUAACUGGAUUGUUUAGACCUGUAAAAAGCCAAUAACAUCGCCCAUGUCGACCAUCAUAGCACUACUUCCAUGAAACAAAGUUGUCUGACAGGAUACACAGCUAUGAUCAAACAACUUUGUUUUUUCAGAUGCAAGAAUACUUUCAUCUUCAUUACUUGUUGAGUAUUUCUGAUCUCCAAAAUGAUUGCAACUAGAUUUUGGACAGGAAUGCUAGACAUUGAUGGUUUUGUCUUUUGCUGCCUCUUACCUGGGAUAAAUAUAGCAGAUACUUUGACUGAAUGUUGACCUUCGUUCUGUUUGACUGAAUGUUGACCUUCUUUUUGUUAUUUGUAAAGUUUGGGUACUAGAACCUUCUUCAGGUUA